CCAGACUCCUACGGGAGGCAGCAGUGGGGAAUAUUGGGCAAUGGGCGCAAGCCUGACCCAGCAACGCCGCGUGAAGGAAGAAGGCUUUCGGGUUGUAAACUUCUUUUGUCAGGGACGAAGCAAGUGACGGUACCUGACGAAUAAGCCACGGCUAACUACGUGCCAGCAGCCGCGGUAAUACGUAGGUGGCAAGCGUUAUCCGGAUUUAUUGGGUGUAAAGGGCGUGUAGGCGGGAAUGCAAGUCAGAUGUGAAAGCCCUCGGCUUAACUGAGGAACUGCAACUAAAACUAUUGUUCUUGAGUGCAGGAGAGGAAAGCGGAAUUCCUAGUGUAGCGGUGAAAUGCGUAGAUAUUAGGAGGAACACCAGUGGCGAAGGCGGCUUUCUGGACUGUAACUGACGUUGAGGCACGAAAGUGUGGGGAGCAAACAGGAUUAGAUACCCCUGUA
rnacentral:rRNA from 1 species